UUCAUCCUUAUAUGAAGCGUUUAUUGAACAGCCUGUUUCUCCUGUUUUUCCUUUUGUGUGUGUGUGUAUGUUUUUAAAACACCCAAGUCAUGUAACCCAGGGAUCUGCUUUUGUCUAUAAAGACAGCAACCAGUUGUUCUAUGGAACGGCACGUGGCACAUUAAGUAUGGUAGCAGACAUGUAUUGCCUGGCAUAACUCUGUUCACAUGAUGACUGUUGUAGAGAGGUCCUCAUCUAGCUGCCACUCAUGGAAAAGGGGGAGGAUAUCUUCUCAGCAUGCAUUAAUAUGCGGCACAUAACAACUUGUCUGAGAGCCAGUCUUCAAUUCUUCAUUACACAAAAUGACUGGAUUGCCGUCAUUGUUUUUUCUAAAGCAUCCUGCAUGCUCCCAGAAGGCAUUUACUGUCGUAGUGCUAUCAGUAUGGUGACUUAUGCAUCUGAAGUUGUCUGUGGUAUGACACAUUGGAAAUUCCUGCCAACAUCAAGGCCUUUUUUCCAAUCCAUACAGCAACAAGUGGUAAAAUCAAUGAUGUACAGUUAUUUAGCAAUGCAAUUCAUUUCACUGACUCUGGCUUUUGGCCAGAUCCGCCAUCUGUCUCUGGCUCUGCUUUCUCUCUCUCGUUCGCCUGAAUUUGUCCUACAUUUCGUAAUGAUCCAUUCUUGCCUUCCUUACUGCAUGGCAAAGGUACAGUACCAAUUCCCCCCCAUUUGCCAUAGGGGGUAGUGUGACUUCAGUGGCAUUUCAGAUGCUCCAUCUUCAUGCCAAAGGUCAGGAAGAACUAAGCAAGAAAACAAACAAAAAACAAACAAACUGCAAGAGAAGUGUAUGUAUCAUAUUGCUCCUGCCUCAGCUAUUUUCCCUUUUUGUUAAAAGCAUUAAGAUGGAUCUGUCUCACAAGGGAACACUUCCUGUUUCAUUAGAGUAUCUUCGUUUCCUUUAUCGGAGGCUGGCACCAUACGCCACUGCACAGCUCGUGAAGUGUAGACUAUUGGAGGCUUGUGCAUGUUUGCCACCAAGCAACCUUCUGCAAUGGAAACAGGGUGCCUACUUCAGGAUCUUAUGCGUGCUUGCUGUUUGAAGCUGCAGAAAAGUGAAUAAUCAAUUAAGUAUUGAUUUCUUGUACGAUUUGGUAAAUUUCAAAGGCAAGACAAAGAGGAUGGCUUUAAGGAAAGCACUGCAGGGACUUGGUGUAAAUUAAACAACUAACAGCAGUGCAGAAUAAAAUAACACCUCAAAUGAAUAUUUCCCUGGAAGAAUUAGUACCAGCUAUUGGAAGACAAUGGUGGAUUUAAUCAAAACGGCAAGCAUCCGAGCAUCUUAACUACGAGACGGGGGAAGGAGCUAAUUAUAACCACAGAUUUUAAUGGAGUUAAUUUGACUGAACGGAUGCAAAUGUGCUUUAUUUAUGGAUGACAAAACAAGCCUACAGCAUCGACUUUGGAAUUAUCGCAUAUGCUUAACAUCAAAAAUCCUUUAGAUAUCGAGCCAACAGUCCAUUAUUUUUUUCCAGAGCAGCUACGUUCCUGAAGCCUAUCACAGAAACCACUCUGCAUUAAGCUGAAACACAAAGACGAUGUAGGAAUAAUGAAUCCUCAUUUGCAUCAACAUUUGUAUUCAGAUUUGCUAGGCUAUAAACUUGCCAGAUCAAGCAGCAUAUUAAACAGAUAUUCCCCUAGUAAAUUGCAGCUUUUGCAAUUGUGGAGCCUUGUUGUGUUUAUAGGAGUGGUUGGUAAAGUACCAUGACUGUACAGAUUGUAUUGGUUCGUGCUUCUUGCAGUACAUGAUGUCAGUCUGGGUCACUGUGAGACUACCAAACACAAGUGAGGAUUUUAAGGCAUACCAGGACAUGUGACCAAGCAAAUUCUCUGCUAUCUAGAAACUGCUGUCAAUGAGUCUUAUAGCACUGGUGGGAACACUGGAGGAGGAUGGAGGACACUUGGUGCAUCAUCAUAGGAUUACAUCAUCCAUCAUCACUAUUUACUUGUGGAUUAUACUGCUGAGCUGACUAAUACAACUGACUAAUGUGUUCUUUGGAACCUAUAAUCCUUUUUAUAUUUUUGAAUGCACUAAUCAUCUAAUUGUACAGUAUUUUAUCUGUAAUACAUGCUUUUCUGUGCUAAUAAUGUUAAAAUUAUUAUUAUUUUAACAGUUUGUACUUUAUUACCUCUAAUGAAGUAUUUUGGAUAACAGUAAUAUAAAACACAUGUCAUUAUUGAUAUUUUUUAUGUAAAUAUGAUACAUUGAUUUUUCUACUGAAUUAAAUCUGCUCAAAGCAUCAGCCUUUGCUGCCUGUGAACUGUAAUAUUGACGGUGCUAAUCUUUGUAUAAUGUCUGCAAGUGCUUUUGUAUAAAAUCUACUACUUUGCUCCAAUUCCAUUUAUUUAUAUGUUCUUCGUCGUUACAUAGGUAAAGGCGAAAGCAGAAGUUGUGUGAGGGUGUCAGAGCUGUCUGCUUCUUCAGUGCAGUUAGUGAUUAAGAAUACCAAUAUCGUAUAGAAAGAAUACCAGCACCUAGCAUAAUGAAGGAGGUGAUAUCCUAUUAACUAUCUGAAUAAUCAUACCUUCCCAGAUUUUCAUGUUAAAAAAAGAUUAUAUACUGUGCAGUUGCAUAAAAUAUGACAAUUAACAUAUUCCACAAUAUGUAGAUUCUUCGCUGCAAUAAUAAUUUCUCAUUCCAUAGCGUGCAGCAACCAAUGACAGCAGGAGCAAGAAAUGUUAUUAUCAUUUUGUUAUUUCUCAAGCUGCAACUGAGACUGUGUGCUCACUCUAAGCUAUGUAGAAUUCAUUUUCAUUAGUUAUUUUGGAUAUCAUUUUCCAAAUUCUUUUCAAGCACCCAACUUUGGGUAUACUUUUAGACACAAUGUCAUAAUUAUUGCCUCAUUAAAAUCAUUUAUUUGGAUCAUUACAAUAUGUACUAGUUGCACACUUCGUAAAAAUCUUUAGGUGGUUAAAGCAGCAAAAUAACUGCCUCUUAUGAUAAAAUACAUAAAGCGCCAUGUUGCUAUGUCACCUCAGGUACCCUGUGCUGUUGUACAGUGUAUUCUUAUUCAUACAAUAAAGUGCCUUAUAUGAAGACUUACAUGACUUUUGUACAGCUCACUGCUUCUCAGUUUGACAGUGAAAACAUUGAACAAUACACACAUUGUACCUCAUGUUCAAUCUCUUAAUGGCUAUUCUGCUCUUCAUAGAACUAUUGUGCAGACCUAAGACUGGAUUAAAAAAUGUAGCAAUGUUAAACUCGUGUACUGAAUGCCUUUUGGAAUGUAUUAAAAUUUCAGGUUAUGUAUAAUGUGAGGUUAUAAUAUUAUGGAAAUACUUGACAAUGCAAUCAGCGUUAAAAGCUACUGAUUACAAUGACUUUAAUUUUGUUCAGUAUGGUCAUAGUAGGUGACACAUUUUGCUAUUGUGAUCUGCUAAGAAAACAAAUGUGGAGAUGCAUACAUAUGGUGUAUGCAAAUCCUUUCAAUAAAUAACAGCUCAUUGUGCACGUGCAGAGAUUUCUAUCCCUUCAUCCCCAGUGAAUUAUGUACAAGCAACAUUCAUGUGCUAAAUGACCAAGAUUCAGAUAAUUAUGUCAUUAUCCCCCCAUAUGUUGAACAAAAUCAUUGUCUUGUUUAAGGGUCCCAUCGGUUAGUGCAGGUCCGGGGCAGAAAGUACAUGUGACUUUAAAGUUUAAGACCAUCAAUAAGAAAACUUGACCAAAAAGGCCAGAGACAGUAAAUAAAGAUACAACUGUAAAAAAUAUUUGAAAUGUGAUUAUAUAUAUUAUAGUGUAAUACCAUUUUACAAUUAAAAAUCACUUCUAUGCCUAAUUAAAGAAUGAAUGUUA